UACAGAGGGUGCGAGCGUUAUUCGGAAUUACUGGGCGUAAAGCGUGCGUAGACGGUCAUGUAAGUCGGAUGUGAAAGCCCCGGGCUCAACCUGGGAAUUGCAUUCGAGACUGCAUGGCUUGGGUGCGGAAGAGGGAAGCGGAAUUUCCGGUGUAGCGGUGAAAUGCGUAGAUAUCGGAAGGAACACCAGUGGCGAAAGCGGCUUCCUGGUCCGACACCGACGUUCAGGCACGAAAGCGUGGGGAGCAAACAGG
rnacentral:rRNA from 1 species